CCAAAAUACAAUCAUAAGUUUUUACACCCAACUUUGAUCCUGUCUUAUUUGAAAAAAAUUAUAAAUAGUAUUUUUGUUGUUGUGAGAUGAUAAAAUAUUUACAUUACUUUACUCAUGACUUAUGUUUUCAAUUUUUUUUCAAAAACUUUUUAAAUAAGACGGACGGUCAAAGUUGGGCUCC
rnacentral:pre_miRNA from 1 species